UUGCUGGUAAAGUCAGAUCUUCAUUCAGUGUUGGCCCAAAAGCUACAAGCUGAAAAGCAUGAUGUACCAAACAGGCAUGAGAUAAGUCCCGGACAUGACAGCACAUGGAAUAACAGUCAGCUACACGAAAUGGCCCAGCUGAGGAUUAAGCACCAAGAAGAACUGACUGAAUUACACAAGAAACGUGGGGAGAAUUGCAGAAUGUUUGCAGACUAUCUCUGACCUGGAGACAGAGUGCCUAGAUCUGCACACUAAGCUUCAGGAGCUUGAAAUAGCCAACCAAACCCUGAAGGAUGAAUAUGAGGCCCUGCAGAUCACUUUUACUGCCUUGUAGGAAAAACUGAGGAAAACUACAGAAGAGAACCAGGAGCUGGUCACCAGAUGGAUGGCUGAGAAAGCCCAGGAAGCCAAUCGCCUCAAUGCAGAGAAUGAAGCAGACUCCAGGAGGCAGCAAGCCCGGCUGCAGAAAGAGCUUGCUGAAGCAGCAAAGGAACCUCUACCAGUCGAACAGGAUGAUGACAUUGAGGUCAUUGUGGAUGAAACCUCUGAUCACACGGAAGAGACCUCUCCUGUGCAAGCCAUCAGCAGAGCAGCCACGAGACGCUCUGUCUCUUCCUUCCCAGUCCCCCAGGACAAUGUGGAUACUCAUCCUGGUUCUGGUAAAGAAGUGAGAGUACCAACUACUGCCUUAUGUGUCUUUGAUGCGCACGAUGGGGAGGUCAACGCUGUACAGUUCAGUCCAGGUUCCCGGUUACUGGCCACCGGAGGCAUGGACCUCAGGAUUAAGCUUUGGGAAGUAUUUGGAGAAAAAAGUGAAUUCAACGGUUCUCUAUCUGGCAGUAAUGCAGGAAUUACAAGCAUCAAAUUUGAUAGCGCUGGAUCUUACCUCUUAGCAGCUUCAAAUGAUUUUGCAAGCCAAAUCUGGACUGUGGAUGAUUAUCGAUUACGGCACACACUCACGGGACACAGUGGGAAAGUGCUGUCUGCUAAAUUCCUGCUGGACAAUGCACAAAUUGUCUCAGGAAGUCACGACCGGACUCUCAAACUCUGGGAUCUACGCAGCAAAGUCUGCAUAAGGACAGUGUUUGCAGGAUCCAGUUGCAAUGCUAUUGUCUUCACAGAGCAAUGUGUGAUGAGCGGACAUUUGACAAGAAAAUUUGUUUCUGGGACAUUCGAUCAGAGGGUACAGUUCGAGAGAUGGAGUUGUUGGGAAAGAUUACUGCCCUGGACUUAAAUCCAGAAAGGACUGAGCUCCUGAGCUGCUCCCGUGAUGACUUGCUAAAAGUUAUUGAUCUCUGAACAAAUGCUGUCAAGCAGACAUUCAGUGCACCUGGGUUCAAGUGCGACUCUGACUGGACCAGAGUUGUCUUCAGACCUGAUGGCAGUUACGUGGCAGCAGGCUUUGCUGAGGGCUCUCUCUAUAUUUGGAGUGUGCUCACAGGGAAAGUGGAAAAGGUUCUUUCAAAGCUCCUCCAUCAAUGCAGUGGCGUGGUCGCCCUCUGGCUCGCACGUCGUCAGUGCAGACAAAGGAUGCAAAGCUGUGCUGUGGGCACAGUAUUGA